rnacentral:rRNA from 1 species
AUUGAACGCUGGCGGCAUGCCUUACACAUGCAAGUCGAACGGCAGCAUAGGAGCUUGCUCCUGAUGGCGAGUGGCGAACGGGUGAGUAAUAUAUCGGAACGUGCCCUAGAGUGGGGGAUAACUAGUCGAAAGACUAGCUAAUACCGCAUACGAUCUACGGAUGAAAGUGGGGGAUCGCAAGACCUCAUGCUCCUGGAGCGGCCGAUAUCUGAUUAGCUAGUUGGGGGGGUAAAAGCCUACCAAGACGACGAUCAGUAGCUGGUCUGAGAGGACGACCAGCCACACUUGGACUGAGACACGGCCCAGACUCCUACGGGAGGCAGCAGUGGGGAAUUUUGGACAAUGGGGGCAACCCUGAUCCAGCAAUGCCGCGUGAGUGAAGAAGGCCUUCGGGUUGUAAAGCUCUUUUGUCAGGGAAGAAACGGUAGUAGCUAGUAUCUAUUACUAAUGACGGUACCUGAAGAAUAAGCACCGGCUAACUACGUGCCAGCAGCCGCCGUAA